ACUGGUUUAGGGCCUGACCUCGCUGCCGUUGGUGGAGCGGAUGGGCGCCCUGAGCCGCUUGGAUCUGGCUGGGAACGAACUGCGGGCGCUGCCGGCGCUGGGGGCGCUGCGGAGGCUGCGGGUGAGAAACCAGUAUGGACCAGUACAAACCAGUAUAGACCAGUAUAGACCAGUACAGACCAGUACAGGCCAGUACAGGCCAGUACAGGCCAGUAACCAACCCAGUUACACCAGUAACGCACCCCAGUUUGUCCCAGUAACUCCCAGUCCAUCCCAGUUUGUCCCAGUUUGUCCCAGUCCGUCCCAGUCCAUCCCAGUCCCUCCCAGUUUGAUCCCAGUCCCUCCCAG
rnacentral:lncRNA from 1 species